UUUCUCUCUCUCCUCGGCGCUCUCUGCAACUCCGGCCACCUCACGAUUCCGGCCACCUGGGGACGAACGAGUGGCACCGUUGGACUCCUCUACUCCUACCCAACCUCCCCACGGCGGUAACUCACGGCGGCUUGGCCGAAAAACGAUGCAUCGGGUCCUUAAAGUUUACUGUAGCAGUUUGGGGUUUCGUCGAUUUCCGGCGAUUCCGGCCAUCUCCAGCCACCAAACCGGCGUCGAAGGUUCGGUUUUUGCCAAGGAUCAUUAUGCCCCUAGCCUUGAGCCACGACUUGAAGCAUGGAGGAAGAAUCGAAGGGCAAUGUUGCGAGCUACGGCUAGAUGAAGGGACUCGUUUGCGUGGUCGCCAACUAGUACUUUUGCAGGCGCUAUUAGUUGAGGUCGGGCGUACAUGGAUCGAGGCAUAGUUGACGAAUAGCUUCCGCACUUCUUUGUUUGGCUCUGAUCUAUUGUGGGUUACUAUUUUGGGUAGUCCACUUUAGGGGUGACUCGACCAGUUCUCGGUAGAGUUAUCUCUAAGGUGGGCCCCGCAGGGCCACCUCGGAUUUCAGGGUGAAAUUCGGGGCGGGUCCUGU